UACAGAGGUCUCAAGCGUUGUUCGGAUUCAUUGGGCGUAAAGGGCGCGUAGGCUGCGGGGCAAGUCGGAUGUGAAAUCCCCAGGCUCAACUUGGGAACUGCAUCCGAUACUGGAUGGCUUGAAUUCGGGAGAGGGAUGCAGAAUUCCAGGUGUAGCGGUGAAAUGCGUAGAUACUGGGAGGAACACCAGAGGCGAAGGCGGCCACCUGGCUCGUAACUGACGCUGAGACGCGAAAGCGUGGGGAGCAAACAGG
rnacentral:rRNA from 1 species